GAAAGAUAAUGUAUUACCUUUGCCGCGUUUCCCUCGUCGUUUCCCCGUCUUAGAAGGCACAGCUCACCUUUGGGCGAAGCGUAUGAACAGCGGGUAGAAGGUGACCGGACGGCACCGUUGAAUGGCGACGAUACCCCCUUUGUUUUCUCAAAAGACGAUGACGAUGUCGACUUUACUCGCUGGCUUGCUUACACUCGCCCUACCAAUUCUUGCUUCAUAAUUGCCGUUGGAGGCUGGAGAGCAGCGAAAGGUCGCAUCUUUCUGCGGAAGGUUCCCCUUAUUGCCCUAAGGCCUGUGCAUGAGAGUCGAGCAGCUACCUAGCGUUUCCUGUAGCAAGUUAACGGGGCUACGGAGAGCACCGGGGAUCCGGAGAGGAAACGACACCGUUUUGUCUCCGUCUCCAGAAUCAAACAUUUGUCCCCUUCCGUGAUAAGAAGAUCAAAGCCCUCACAGAAGGAGCAUAGAAGGGAGAAAAUUAUGAACGAUCGGAGAAAGGACAAAAAAAUAGUUGAUUGGAAUAAUGAUGUUAAAACACUCAAGUUGUCAUGGCUGAUAGGAGAAUAUGAAGUUCAUUGAGGUCUACAAGUCGAUGCAGUGGCGAUCAAUAAUGAGACUCGUUCUUCUCUCUGGUGCUACAUGUGUUGAAGAAAGGAAACCAAAUCCAUUAUGGCAGCGAUGAAGGCAGGUUGUGAUGCUGCACUCAUGCAUGCCAUCGGUAACUUGGGAUUGAAUCGGCACAAGACUGCAUUGGCCUUCGGUUUGAAGCGAGUGGCUUUGCAGUCUGGAGAAAUCCUCACAUGGUUCUCUACCAAUCUUAGUAAAGCAACAUCCACACCUACUGAACUACUGCAGCAGCCUGUUCUGACCAUUCCAUAUACUGGAUUAUGCCGAGUCUGAAGCCAAUUUGUAAUAGCUAAUAGGAUAUUUUCAGGUUGCUCCUGUGGAUUAUUCGUAUAGUAAGUACCAUUGGGCUUGUUCAUGAGUUUGUCAUGCAUAUAAACUUUCUUGUCCAGGAAAGAUGUACUUGGAUUUUAGUAUGUCUUUCUGGUGAUUCAAAUGUAUCAAUGUAAGAAGUUUGUGUGAUGGUAUUUUUGCGAUA